GACGAACGCUGGCGGCGUGCCUAAUACAUGCAAGUCGAGCGAAUGGAAGGGAGCUUGCUCCCUAAAGUUAGCGGCGGACGGGUGAGUAACACGUGGGCAACCUGCCUGUAAGACUGGGAUAACUUCGGGAAACCGGAGCUAAUACCGGAUACGUUCUUUCCUCGCAUGAGGAAAGAUGGAAAGAUGGUUUCGGCUAUCACUUACAGAUGGGCCCGGGGCGCAUUAGCUAGUUGGUGGGGUAAUGGCCUACCAAGGCGACGAUGCGUAGCCGACCUGAGAGGGUGAUCGGCCACACUGGGACUGAGACACGGCCCAGACUCCUACGGGAGGCAGCAGUAGGGAAUCUUCCGCAAUGGACGAAAGUCUGACGGUGCAACGCCGCGUGAGCGAAGAAGGCCUUCGGGUCGUAAAGCUCUGUUGUCAGGGAAGAACAAGUGCCAGAGUAACUGCUGGCACCUUGACGGUACCUGACCAGAAAGCCACGGCUAACUACGUGCCAGCAGCCGCCGUAACAC
rnacentral:rRNA from 1 species